AGAGUUUGAUCCUGGCUCAGGACGAACGCUGGCGGCGUGCCUAACACAUGCAAGUCGAGCGAUGAAGUUUCCUUCGGGAAAUGGAUUAGCGGCGGACGGGUGAGUAACACGUGGGUAACCUGCCUUAUAGUGGGGGAUAGCCUUUCGAAAGGAAGAUUAAUACCGCAUAAGAUUGUAGUAUCGCAUGGUAUAGCAAUUAAAGGAGCAAUUCGCUAUAAGAUGGACCCGCGUCGCAUUAGCUAGUUGGUGAGGUAAUGGCUCACCAAGGCGACGAUGCGUAGCCGACCUGAGAGGGUGAUCGGCCACAUUGGGACUGAGACACGGCCCAGACUCCUACGGGAGGCAGCAGGGGGGAAUAUUGCACAAUGGGCGAAAGCCUGAUGCAGCAACGCCGCGUGAGUGAUGACGGCCUUCGGGUUGUAAAACUCUGUCUUCAGGGACGAUAAUGACGGUACCUGAGG
rnacentral:rRNA from 1 species